rnacentral:rRNA from 1 species
ACGGAGCAAUACCGCGUGCGGGAGGAAGGCUCUUGGGUUGUAAACCGCUUUUGUCAGGGAAGAACACAAUGACGGUACCUGACGAAUCAGCAUCGGCUAACUCCGUGCCAGCAGCCGCGGUAAUACGGAGGAUGCAAGCGUUAUCCGGAAUUAUUGGGCGUAAAGCGUCCGCAGGUGGCUUUACAAGUCUGCUGUCAAAGCGCAGAGCUUAACUCUGUACAGGCGGUGGAAACUGUUGAGCUAGAGUACGGUAGGGGUAGCGGGAAUUCCCGGUGUAGCGGUGAAAUGCGUAGAUAUCGGGAAGAACACCAGCGGCGAAAGCGCGCUACUGGGCCGUAACUGACACUCAUGGACGAAAGCUAGGGGAGCG